rnacentral:rRNA from 1 species
UACGUAGGGGGCAAGCGUUGUCCGGAAUCAUUGGGCGUAAAGCGCGUGUAGGCGGCUCGGUAAGUCUGCUCUGAAAGUCCAAGGCUCAACCUUGGGAUGCGGGUGGAUACUGCCGAGCUCGAGUCCGGAAGAGGCGAGUGGAAUUCCUGGUGUAGCGGUGAAAUGCGCAGAUAUCAGGAGGAACACCGGUGGCGAAGGCGGGUUGCUGGGGCUGACACUGACGCUGAUGCGCGA